rnacentral:rRNA from 1 species
AGUGAACGCUGGCGGCAGGCCUAACACAUGCCAGUCGAACGAGUGGCGGACGGGUGAGGAAUACAUCGGAAUCUACUCGUUCGAGGGGGAUAACGUAGGGAAACUUACGCUAAUACCGACUACGAUUGAAUGAACCGAUGUCGGAUUAGCUAGUUGGCGGGGUAACGGCCCACACAGGCGACGAUCCGUAGCUGGUCUGAGAGGAUGAUCAGCAACACUGGAACUGAGACACGGGCCAGACUCCUACGGGAGGCAGCAGUGGGGAAUAUUGGACAAUGGGCGCAAGCCUGAUCCAGCCAUACCGCGUGGGUGAAGAAGGCCUUCGGGUUGUAAAGCCCUUUUGUUGGGAAAGCGGUACCCAAAGAAUAAGCACCGGCUAACUUCGUGCCAGCAGCCGCGGUAAUAC